CCCUCCGCUGCCCCGCGUCCUCACCCGCACUUGGUAUUGUGUGCUGGUGGGCGUGCCCCGCAGUGAGGCCGGUGGUCGCCAUUUGCGCUUGCUCCUGAAUGCAGAGGUUCCCACCCUAGCUCCGCUUUGCAAAGCAUCCUCAAGAGGCACAUUACUGGGACUGGGGUUGUGGCUCAGCGGUAGACGCUCACCUAGCAUGUGCAAGGUCCUGGGUUCAACCCUCAGCACCAUAUA
rnacentral:lncRNA from 1 species